UUGGUUUUAUUAGCUUUCUUUGCUUUCUCUCUCUUUUUUGCCAUUUUUCCAUUUCAUUCCAGGAAUUUUAUGUUGGAAUUCUCUUUUUGUCAUGUAAUUGGGCUGUGUUUCAGUGGCGAUCAUUCCAUCGUUCUGUUCUUAUGCUCUGUUUCUUUUGUUUCAAUUUUGUUUUGGCUUUAAUCUCACAAUUGUAGGAAAAGAAACAUAUAAAUGUUUUUGCUUUUGUUUUUUGCUUGAUUUAUUGAUCAAAGCAUGCACUUAAUUCAGUAUCGAAAGUCCAAAAAUUUUCUCUGUUUUGUCAGUCUCUGUUGAAGAUGACAAUGAACGUGACAUAGUGAUUUUGAAGAGUUCAUCUUAAUUAUGAGUGCAUUUGAUGCCGUAAAUUUGAAUAAUUUUUAAUAAGUCUGGUUAGGAAUUUACUGUUGUGAGAAAUUGCCUCCCAGUUUUCUAAUUUGAUUUAUUGUCAUGCCUUGACUUUCUUAUAAUCUGAUUUUGAAGGUGUGAGGGAGAAAUACUGA
rnacentral:misc_RNA from 1 species